UGACUGCUAAUACCGUAUGAUGUCUUCGGACCAAAGAUUUAUCGCCUGAGGAUGAGCCCGCGUUGGAUUAGGUAGUUGGUGGGGUAAAGGCCUACCAAGCCGACGAUCCAUAGCUGGUCUGAGAGGAUGAUCAGCCACACUGGGACUGAGACACGGCCCAGACUCCUACGGGAGGCAGCAGUGGGGAAUAUUGGACAAUGGGCGAAAGCCUGAUCCAGCAAUGCCGCGUGAGUGAUGAAGGCCUUAGGGUUGUAAAGCUCUUUUACCCGGGAAGAUAAUGACUGUACCGGGAGAAUAAGCCCCGGCUAACUCCGUGCCAGCAGCCGCGGUAAUACGGAGGGGGCUAGCGUUGUUCGGAAUUACUGGGCGUAAAGCGCACGUAGGCGGCUUUGCAAGUCAGAGGUGAAAGCCCGGGGCUCAACCCCGGAAUUGCCUUUGAGACUGCAGAGCUAGCAGGUGAGAGAGGUGAGUGGAAUUCCGAGUGUAGAGGUGAAAUUCGUAGAUAUUCGGAAGAACACCAGUGGCGAAGGCGGCUCACUGGCUCAU
rnacentral:rRNA from 1 species